GAGGGUACAGCUCAGUGGUAGAGCACCUGCUUAGCAGGCACUGGGUUCAAACUCCAGUAUCUCCA
rnacentral:tRNA from 1 species